rnacentral:rRNA from 1 species
AUUGAACGCUGGCGGCAGGCUUAACACAUGCAAGUCGAACGAGUGGCGGACGGGUGAGUAAUGCUUGGGAAUCUACCUUAUGGAGGGGGAUAACUACUGGAAACUGUAGCUAAUACCGCGUACCAUCGGAUGUGCCCAAGUGGGAUUAGCUAGUUGGUGGGGUAAAGGCUCACCAAGCCGACGAUCCCUAGCUGGUCUGAGAGGAUGACCAGCCACACGGGGACUGAGACACGGCCCAGACUCCUACGGGAGGCAGCAGUGGGGAAUAUUGCGCAAUGGGGGCAACCCUGACGCAGCCAUGCCGCGUGAAUGAAGAAGGCCUUCGGGUUGUAAAGUUCUUUCGGUGGCGAGGCGUUAACUACAGAAGAAGCACCGGCUAACUCCGUGCCAGCAGCCGCGGUAAUAC